rnacentral:rRNA from 1 species
CACACGACUCUCGGCAACGGAUAUCUAGGCUCUCGCAUCGAUGAAGAACGUAGCAAACUGCGAUACUUGGUGUGAAUUGCAGAAUCCCGUGAACCAUCGAGUCUUUGAACGCAAGUUGCGCCCGAAGCCAUUAGGCCGAGGGCACGCCUGCCUGGGCGUCACGCAUC